AGUGAACGCUGGCGGUAGGCCUAACACAUGCAGGUCGAACGGCAGCACAGUAAGAGCUUGCUCUUACGGGUGGCGAGUGGCGGACGGGUGAGGAAUACAUCGGAAUCUACUUUUUCGUGGGGGAUAACGUAGGGAAACUUACGCUAAUACCGCAUACGACCUACGGGUGAAAGCAGGGGAUCUUCGGACCUUGCGCGAUUGAAUGAGCCGAUGUCGGAUUAGCUAGUUGGCGGGGUAAAGGCCCACCAAGGCGACGAUCCGUAGCUGGUCUGGGAGGAUGAUCAGCCACACUGGAACUGAGACACGGUCCAGACUCCUACGGGAGGCAGCAGUGGGGAAUAUUGGACAAUGGGCGCAAGCCUGAUCCAGCCAUACCGCGUGGGUGAAGAAGGCCUUCGGGUUGUAAAGCCCUUUUGUUGGGAAAGAAAAGCAGCAGGUUAAUACCCCGCUGUUCUGACGGUACCCAAAGAAUAAGCACCGGCUAACUUCGUG
rnacentral:rRNA from 1 species